CACUGAACAAUGUUAUCAAGUUCAUCCGUGUUGUAGCAGGCAACGAGAAUGGAGCCAGCUACCUGCUUGGAUGGAGGGAAGAGGAAGGGGAGAAAAAACUGAGAACAAAGUUGAAGCCUCAAAAUAUUAUCCAUUCACCUUAUUCAUUACAACCAAUAAAUUGCUUUUCUAUGAA